rnacentral:rRNA from 1 species
AUGAAUUGCAUUAGCUGGAACUGCCGGGGGCUUGGGAACCCAACGGCAGUUCGCGAGCUUCGCAGCAUUGUGAAGGAAGAAGGUCCUGCCCUUGUGUUUAUCAUGGGAACUAAAAUAAGGGCGAAGAAAGUAGAGAAUCUGCGAAAUACUUUGGGUUUUGCUGGAUGUUUUGCUGUCGACACUAAUGGUCUCAGUGGCGGUGUGGGACUGUUUUGGCUGAACGAAGUUUCGGUUGAAUUGGAAUUUUUUAGUGUGAGCCACAUCGAUGUGGUUGUCACAAAUAUCGGUCUUGAUUCUCCUGGUUGGAGAUUUACUGGUUUUUAUGGAGCCCCAAGAGCGGAAAACCGUCAUCGUUGCUGGCGCUUCAUGAGAACUUAA